rnacentral:rRNA from 1 species
UACGGAGGGUGCGAGCGUUGUCCGGAAUCACUGGGCGUAAAGGGCGCGUAGGCGGCUCGUUAAGGGUGCGGUGAAAACUCGGGGCUUAACUCCGGGCCUGCAGUGGGUACGGGCAGACUAGAGUGCGGUAGGGGAGACUGGAAUUCCCGGUGUAGCGGUGAAAUGCGCAGAUAUCGGGAGGAACACCGGUGGCGAAGGCGGUUCUCUGGGCCUUACCUGACGCUGAGGAGCGAAAGCGUGGGGAGCGAACAGG